rnacentral:lncRNA from 1 species
CCCAGCCCACAUUCAGAAUAUUAUAUUCUAAGAAAUGCAUUCUAACAAUGACGCUGAUAAAGUAGAACGUAAUAGAAUGUAACCAAUAGAGGGUGAUGAGGAUGGGUGGGCCUCAGGAUGUCAUGUGCUAUAAAGAACAUCAAGAGGAGGCUGGAGAGUUAGGAAACAUUUGUUUGGAGUCCCUGGUACUCAGAUACAAGGAGGGGGCCAUUUACAAACCAGGAAGAGGGUCCUCACCAGAUCACUGCCCAGCACCUUGAUCUUGGGCUUCCCAGCCUCCAGAACUCUGAGAAAUCAAUAUUUGUUGUCUAAGCCACCUGGCUAUGGUAAUUUGUUACAGCAGCCUGAGCUGAGCAAGGCAAUCAUCUUACCUAGAUGACUUGAGAGAUCCCUUCCAUUCCAUCUGAAGUUGUAUCAACAAGCUAAAAUGAGUGAUCUGUACAGUAGCAUUAGUCCAACUCUGUCACAUCGCUGCAACAGCCAGCAGAAAGAUUGAGUGGGUUUUGCUGCAACCUGUCACAAACAGUAUCAGUACUGUAGCCAUCACUCUGACUAACAAACCUUCGGGUGUACUUUGUGGGAGAGAAUCCAGGCUGGGAUUGCUCUGACAACAUAGCACGGGAUUAUUUUAACAGUAUUGAAUUACUCACAUCUCCUUGGACCUGGGUUUGAAGUUUCGGCAGCAGUUUCCUCUUGAAGGCUCUUUCAGGGUUCCCUUCUUUUCAUUCCUGACUCAAGCCUUCCGGCCGUAAAGGCAAAUUUUUAACUGACUCAGCUCAGGUGAGUGAGAGGGAAAGCGAAACAGGAAACAAUUAUAUAAGACUACAUUUGCAUACAAGCCAGUGUCUUUCCAGAACAUUAAUUUCUCCUAAAACUGCUGUCUAACUUUCAAGUUCAUCUGGUAUUUUAACACAAUGUUUUACUUCAGCAUGGUCCGUUCUUAUUAUUUGACUAAAGAAUUUCUGAGUCCUCUGCUUUGUUUGUGCUAUUUUCCAUAAAAGGAAAUGGGGUGAGAAAUGCUGAAAUAGUUCCACCCAGAUGGUUAAAGCAAUGUAGAGUUGGACAGAAUUAAAGUCACCUUAAAAUAACUUGCUUGCACAAAUAUCCACAAGUGGGAUAGCUGGAUCACAUGGUAGUUCUAUUCUUAAUUUUUUGAGGACUCUCUAUACUGUUUUCCACAGUGGCUGCACCAUUUUACUUUCCUACCAACAGCGCACAAGGGUUUCACUUUCCCUUUUGUAUGGCUCCUUGGAGCUGCUUUCUAUUUGUUAGAUGGGAUGCUGCCCCAUUCAUGAGUUGUGGGAUAAAGCCAAUUAGAUCUUCAAAUUCACUCAGUCGAAUUUUGUUUCUAACAA